GGGGAUGUAUUUGGUUUUGACGAAAAUGGUUCAAGCCAUUAAAUCGCAAUCCAGGCAUCGCGCUGUCUGCCUGCUAACUCGUCCAGCGCAUUAUAAGUGCUAAUACUUAUAGAUCUUUAGCUGCUUCAGCUAAGCGUCUUGCUAAGACUCCGGUCCCAGCAUUUGCUUACGCUUAAGCAUCUAAUACGGUCACCAAUUCGUGACCUCGUCUCACCUGCCGACACCUGCUGAGCUGGUGAGGCGUUAUUUAGCAGGAUAAGCGUGUCAUACGCCUCCGUAGGAUGACACGACGAAAAAUCAACCCGGAUAAGCUAUGGUUGCUUUUGUUUGUUUUAAUGACCUAGACGAAAAUUUCAAACAAACUAAGAUUGUAGAAGUUUUAUGACUUCAUUUUCGGACCCCGGUUCGACUCCGGGCAUCUCCACCA
rnacentral:tmRNA from 1 species